AUGCAAACUUCCUUGACAAUCUGGCUCCAAUAUUAUAUUUCAAACUUCUAUCCCAAAGGAGAUUGGACCAUAUCUCCUGGGCUAUGUUUUGCUCAAACAGGCCUCUAUAUUCUUCCUUCCCAGUCCAGCCUGCAGAGACAAUGGAGCCCAGGGUACAGGAGGGAGAGGAACCCAAAUGUCCGAAUGCACCCGUGUCUGAGGUCAUCCUUCCUUUGAGAUACCUGCGACGAUGACUCCAGCUCCUCAAGUUUUCCCUCUCCAGAAGCCAGCUGCCAUGUCUGGAUCACAUGCAUGUGGUGAAAAACUGAGACUUCCAGCCAAUAGCCACGUGAGUGAGCCAUCUUGGAAGUGGAUCUUCCAGCUCCAGUAAAGCCUUCAGAUGACUACAGCUUUGGCCAACAUCUUGACUGCAACCUCCAGAGAGACCCUGAACAAGAAUCACACUGUGAAGAUGUUCCUGGUUUCCCGAUUCUCAGAAACUGUGUGAGAUAAUACAUGUUUGCUGGUUUAAGCCACUAAGUUUUGGGGUAAUUUGUUAUGCAGCAAUAGAUAACUAAUACAGAUUGUGUGUGUGUGUGUGUGUGUGUGUGUGUGUGUGUGUGUGUACAAGAUGAAUAUGGCUUCUGCAACACAGAAGUUAAAUUCUAGUGGAGCAUAGAAAAAAGUCAGCUGACAACACCAAUAUAGUGUGGAAAGUGCUAUGGGAAAGCACAGGAUCCCAUGGGAGUAUGUGGAAGGGGCACUGGGUGUAACUUAAAAGUGGUGAUGGUCAGAGGAGGCUUCCUAUAAUCAGUUACAUCUAAGUUGCAUCUUGAAGGAUGAGCAGAGCUGGUCAAGCAGACAAGUUGGUGAGGUGAAUGAGGAAGGGCAUUUCGGAAGAAGGAGCAGUGUGUGUGAAGGUCUGGAGGUAAGAGAGAUGGCAAACAAGGGUGGGGGUGGGAAAGGGGCCAGAGGAUAUUGAGCUUCAUCCUCCAUGAUAAAGGAGAUUGGAUUUUGAAGGGUUUUUGGUAGGUUAAAUUUGCAUUUUAGAAAUAUCAAUCUGACUGUGGCAUGGAGAAUAGAAUGGGACUGGAAAAAAAUGGGAACCUAACAAUUAUUUUCAUUUAUUUGUUCUAUGAUGAUUUUAUUAUAUUGCCUGAUAUACAUAGACUUAUUUUUUUAGUAGAGGUCACACUUAACAUAUGAAUAUACUUGAUUUAGUUAAAAUAAUUUUAAGUGAGGAUUUUCUCACGUUAUUGUUAGCAAAUGAAGUCUAAUAUAAUGGCAUAUGAUGUAAUUAAACAGACCCCAGUAAAUUUAAUCAAUAACCUGUUGAUAUUUUUAUAUUUUGCUGUUACAAUAACACUAGAGUUGACAUGAAAAGGGUCUCC
rnacentral:lncRNA from 13 species